GGGCCCGUCGUAUAGUGGCAAUAUACGGCAUUCGCAUUGCCGGGACGCGGUUUCGAUUACCGCCGGGUCCACAA
rnacentral:tRNA from 6 species